UAUACUAUGCGUGUCAAAUUUACAGGUCUAAUGGCCAAAGACUAUCCUGGGUCUCCAAAGAUCCACCAGUUGGAAUAAAAAAGGCGGCGCAUUACCUAUAUCUUAUCCGUAGGUGGUUUAUGCGUUCUGUUCUACAUCCUUGGGACUUGGCAAAACACCACUACCCCAACGUUCAAUGCCAACUCGAAUUUGUCUGAGAAAGUUGAGUGUGAUCCGCAAGCCAAUGCUUUGUCAUCUUUGUCAUUGGAAGAUGACAUCCUUGAUUUUGAAGCCCACCACAAGCUAAGCCUCGAUGAAACGUUGAUGGCGAUCGAGAAAUUCCCAGUUUGUGAUCUAAAUUUCGGUGAGUAUACGCCGUGCCAAGAUCUAACUAGGGGAAGGAGGUUCGAAAGGGCGAUGCUGGUGUACCGAGAGAGACACUGUCCUGAAAAAAAAGAGCUCAUCGAAUGUCUAAUUCCUGCUCCACCAAAGUACAAAAGACCUUUCAAGUGGCCUCAGAGUAGAGAAUAUGCUUGGUAUGACAACAUCCCUCACAAGGAGCUCAGCAUCGAGAAGGCUAUUCAGAACUGGAUUCAAGUCGAAGGCGAUCGGUUUAGAUUCCCCGGAGGUGGGACAAUGUUCCCACGGGGCGCUGAUGCUUACAUUGACGAUAUAAAUGCUCUUAUCUCACUAACUGAUGGUAAAAUUAGGACUGCGAUCGACACAGGCUGCGGAGUGGCCAGUUGUGGUGCUUAUCUUCUGAAUAGGGAUAUCAUAACAAUGUCAUUUGCACCAAGAGACACACAUGAGGCUCAGGUGCAGUUUGCUUUGGAACGAGGAGUUCCAGCCAUGAUUGGAGUGAUGGCUACGCAGCGGUUGCCAUAUCCGGCUAGAGCAUUUGAUAUGGCUCAUUGUUCCCGGUGUUUGAUUCCUUGGUAUGAUUAUGAUGGUCUAUAUCUGAUCGAAGUUGACCGAGUUCUAAGACCAGGAGGUCAUUGGAUUUUGUCUGGUCCUCCAAUUCAAUGGAAGAAACACUAUCAAGGUUGGGAAAGGACUCAAGAAGACCUAAAGAAAGAGCACGAAACAAUAGAGGCAGUUGCUAAACGUCUUUGCUGGAAGAAAUUAAUAGAGAAGGAUGAUCUUGCAAUUUGGCAGAAGCCCAUCAACCACGUUGAAUGCAUUGAAAGCCGGAGGAUCUAUAAAACACCUCACAUUUGCAAGAACGACAACGCUGAUGCUGCCUGGUAUAAGAAGAUGAAGGCCUGUAUCACCCCAUUACCAGAAGUGAGCAGUCCGGAUGAAGCUGCAGGUGGUGAACUCAAGGAAUGGCCGGAGAGGGCAUUUUCUGUCCCACCAAGAAUUAGCAAGGGUUCAAUACCUGCUUUGACUUCAAAGAAAUUUGAAGAUGACAACAUAGUGUGGAAAGAACGGGUUACCCACUACAAGAACAUCAUUCCAGCUUUGUUUCAAGGGAAAUACCGAAAUGUGAUGGACAUGAAUGCCUACUUGGGUGGAUUCGUGGCAGCUCUGAUGAAGUAUCCUGUGUGGGUGAUGAAUGUGGUCCCUGCAAAUUCAGAUUAUGACACCUUGGGUGUAAUCUAUGAGAGGGGAUUUAUUGGAACAUAUCAUGACUGGUGUGAAGCCUUCUCAACUUAUCCAAGAACUUACGAUCUCAUCCAUGCUACAGGCGUUUUCAGCAUUUAUCAGGACAGGUGCGACAUAACAUACAUUCUCUUGGAGAUGGAUAGGAUACUGAGGCCAGAGGGAACAGUAAUAAUCCGCGACACCGUGGAUGUCCUCACAAAAGUCCAGUCCAUAACAGACAGGAUGAGAUGGAAGAGUAGGACCAUGGAUCAUGAAAGUGGACCUUUCAACCCUGAGAAGAUUCUUUUGGCUGUCAAGACUUACUGGACUGCUGAGCCUUCUACAUAA